rnacentral:rRNA from 1 species
UAAGGAAUAUUGGUCAAUGGACGCAAGUCUGAACCAGCCAUGCCGCGUGAAGGAUGAAGGUCCUCUGGAUUGUAAACUUCUUUUAUUUGGGACGAAACUCCCCGAUUCUUCGGGGCUUGACGGUACCAGAUGAAUAAGCACCGGCUAACUCCGUGCCAGCAGCCGCGGUAAUACGGAGGGUGCAAGCGUUAUCCGGAUUCACUGGGUUUAAAGGGUGCGUAGGUGGGCAGAUAAGUCAGUGGUGAAAUCCCCGAGCUUAACUUGGGAACUGCCAUUGAUACUAUUUGUCUUGAAUACCAUGGAGGUGAGCGGAAUAUGUCAUGUAGCGGUGAAAUGCUUAGAUAUGACAUAGAACACCAAUUGCGAAGGCAGCUCACUACGCGGUUAUUGACACUGAGGC